rfam:Schistosoma haematobium scaffold2192_5, whole genome shotgun sequence.
AUUCCGCUGGAGAGUCCCACCUAGGACAAAACGUACGUCCUGGAU